rnacentral:rRNA from 1 species
GAGUUUGAUCCUGGCUCAGAUUGAACGCUGGCGGCAUGCCUUACACAUGCAAGUCGAACGGCAGCACGGGGGCAACCCUGGUGGCGAGUGGCGAACGGGUGAGUAAUGCAUCGGAACGUGCCCUGAAGUGGGGGAUAACGUAGCGAAAGUUACGCUAAUACCGCAUAUUCUGUGAGCAGAAAAGCAGGGGAUCUUAGGACCUUGUGCUUUGGGAGCGGCCGAUGUCGGAUUAGCUAGUUGGUGAGGUAAAGGCUCACCAAGGCGACGAUCCGUAGCGGGUCUGAGAGGAUGAUCCGCCACACUGGAACUGAGACACGGUCCAGACUCCUACGGGAGGCAGCAGUGGGGAAUUUUGGACAAUGGGCGCAAGCCUGAUCCAGCCAUGCCGCGUGAGUGAAGAAGGCCUUCGGGUUGUAAAGCUCUUUCGGCGGGGAAGAAAUAGCGUGGGUUAAUACCCUGCGUUGAUGACGGUACCCGCAUAAGAAGCACCGGCUAACUACGUGCCAGCAGCCGCGGUAAUACGUAUGGUGCGAGCGUUAAUCGGAAUUACUG